ACACGACUACAUUAGACUACCCCCGUAGUCCCAGACCGUAAACUAUGCGCGUUAGGUGUACUGGUGACCGCGAGUCGACCGGGGUGCCGAAGGGAAACCGUAGAAACGUGCCGCCGUGGGAAGUACGGUCGCAAGGCUAGAAACUUAAAGGAAUUGGCGGGGAGCACCACAACGGGUGGAGCCUGCGGUUUAAUUGGACUCAACGCCGGAAAUCUCACCGGAUAGGACAGACAUAUGAUAGUCGGGCUGAAGACUCUACUUGAUGAUCUG
rnacentral:rRNA from 1 species